AGAAGCCUGGCCAUCAAUACCUACAACAGUUAUGCAGGCAAGGGAAACAGGCCCUGAAAAUAAGGUAAUGUGGAGUGAGUAGCCUCCAUAUUGAUUAAGAAGGGGACAGAUUUACCCUCUACUGUGAGAGUUACCUAGAGUGUCUGUGAUGGUCCUGUAGGCUUCAUGAGGUGAUCAGGCAGUGUCAGUCUUCAGCUGCUAAGCCGAGAAGAUCUGGGAAGGAGUCAGUCAGAGAGCCUUGGGCCAGAGUUCCAGGGGCUUUGGAAGUGGCUGCCAGAACACGGAGUCCCCUUCGGAAUCCUCGGAGUCAAGCUCUGUGGAAGCAGGAACUGCUUUUGGUUAUCCUUGAAUAAGCAGAAGACAGGUGUUGGAGCUCCAGGCCUCAAAUCCUCACAACACGGCUUUUUCUACAAGCAGAAAAGAACCCAAUCCUCAACCGUGUUUCCUUCACCAGUGAGAACACCUUUCUGAGGAGCUCCCAGGAAGGAACAAAGAUUGAUUCUCUGGCACACAGGUUUCAGACAAGCAACUGUUGGAUUAGAGCAUACAGGGACAUAUAUUGUCCUACUGCCCCCUGUGGUUAGUAUGAUUUGUCUGACUAGCUAGUUAUUAAUAGUUGUCCCCUUCUCCUACCACUUCAAGCCCACUUCAACCAGCUCCUUCCAAAUGCUCAAGAGAAGACUUCAGAAGAAAUUCAAAGUUUUCAAAAUGAUGUUGGAUUGAAAGUUCUGAUGAUGUUCUAUAAACCAAGAGUUUGCAAACUGUGGCCAAAUCCUGCUCACCCUCUGAUUGUGUAUAGCCCCAAGCUAAGAAUGGUUUUUACAUUUUAAAGUAGCUGGAAAAUAUCAAAAGAAGAGUAAUAAUAUUUUGUGACACAUGAAAAUUCAUGAAAUUCAAACUUCAGUGUCCGUAAAUAAAGCUUACUGAAACAGAGC
rnacentral:lncRNA from 1 species